rnacentral:tRNA from 1 species
GCCGGUGUGGUGGAAUUGGUAGACACAAGGGAUUUAAAAUCCCUCGGUAGCGAUAUCGUACCGGUUCGAGCCCGGUCACCGGCACCA